AUUGAACGCUGGCGGCAGGCCUAACACAUGCAAGUCGAACGAGUGGCGGACGGGUGAGUAGUGUCUGGGAAACUGCCUGAUGGAGUGGGAUAACUACUGGAAACGGUAGCUAAUACCGCAUACUAUCAGAUGUGCCCAGAGGGGAUUAGCUAGUUGGGGGGGUAACGGCUCACCAAGGCGACGAUCCCUAGCUGGUCUGAGAGGGUGACCAGCCACACUGGAACUGAGACACGGUCCAGACUCCUACGGGAGGCAGCAGUGGGGAAUAUUGCACAAUGGGCGAAAGCCUGAUGCAGCCAUGCCGCGUGUGUGAAGAAGGCCUUCGGAUUGUAAAGUACUGUCAGCGGGGAGGCGUUACCCGAAGAAGAAGCACCGGCUAACUCCGUGCCAGCAGCCGCGGUAAUUC
rnacentral:rRNA from 1 species